AUUUCUUUGAGUCGAACGCACAAGUCUCCUGAAAUGUAUAAUCUGUUAAAUAUUAUUUUAAUGUUUCUGUUCAUCGUCGCUGACUGUAAUGCAGGCUGGGUUCCAGGAGGCCUGGAUCCACGAUGACUCAAACGGAAAGAACAUGCUCCCGGUGGAUUGACCUGCUUGAUGGAAAUGGAAAGUUGGUAUUACGACAUGGUGAAAAAUGACUGCAUUUAUACCACGGGCGCUAGUUGCGGCGGUACUGAGAAUUUUUACACACAACAAGAGUGCGCAAUUGCUUGCAUCCGCCCAAACUCUAUGAACUUUUAACGAGAACGACUCAGAUAAGAAGUAGCAUAACUCGCAACAUCUCCGGAGACCAUUUUAACGUUAUCCGAUAUUGAAAUGAAACGUUUCGUUUGAAAUUAUAAAAAAGUGAAAAUAA